GGGGUUGUGGCUCAGUGGUAGAGUGCUUGCCUAGCAUGCAUGAGGCACUGGGUUCAAUUCUCAGCACCACA
rnacentral:tRNA from 1 species